AUGGAUGAGCCCAAGUUUCUUUUAAAAUUAAAAACCACCUGGGGGAAUAAAAAUCAACUCUCUAUUAAAAAUAAAAAAUCAAUGCACAAAAAGAAAAGCAAACAAGAGCCCAUAUUGUAGGAAGAAAUGGUUAGCAAAAAUGUAAAAAAAAAAAAAAAAAGUAAUUUUUUUUUUUCUUUUUGUGGAAAUGGAGUCUCACUCUGUCGUGCCCAGGCGGAGGUUGCAGUGAGCCAAAAUCGUGCCAUUGCACUCCAGCCUGGGCGGCAGAGCGAGACUCGAUCUCAAAAAAAUAUAUAAUAAUAAUAAUUAAAUUAAAUUAAAUUAAAACAACACAGAAAGUUUACAUUUUAUAACAACCUUAUUAUGCAGAUGAUAUUUACACUUCAGAAAUAUUUAAGACAAUUGUAACCCUGUAAAGCUGAUGAGAUAUUAAAACAAGACAAAAACUGAAAACGAAA
ensembl:lncRNA novel transcript, antisense to FOXN3